AGUAACCUCCAGGAGGCUAAACCUGCAAUAAGUAACCUUCUCAUAAGCAACAUCAAACUGAAAAUUUGUAAAUGCUAGUAACAAGCCUGAAAGAGGAAUACAGUUCUUAAAAACCAAGAUUAGCAAGAGAUCUAUAUGAUAAGCUUCAAUAGUCAUAUAUACAAAUUGCAAUCGCACAAAACCUGAGUUCAUCGCCUAAUCGGAUUGAGAAACAGAAGCAAGAUAAAAAGUCUAGUCAAGAGAUUAACCUAAGCAACGAAAGUUUCAAA